rnacentral:tRNA from 1 species
GCUUCGAUAGCUCAGUUGGUAGAGCGACGCACUCGUAAUGCGUAGGUCGUGGGUUCAAGUCCCAUUCGAAGCU